UGGGGAAUAUUGGGCAAUGGGCGCAAGCCUGACCCAGCCAUGCCGCGUGAGUGAUGAAGGCCUUCGGGUCGUAAAGCUCUGUGGGGAGGGAAGAAACCUCCUUGGCUAAUAUCCAAGGAAGCUGACGGUACCUCCUUAGCAAGCACCGGCUAACUCCGUGCCAGCAGCCGCGGUAAUACGGAGGGUGCAAACGUUGCUCGGAAUCAUUGGGCGUAAAGCGCACGUAGGCGGUCCGUUAAGUCGGGUGUGAAAGCCCCGGGCUCAACCCGGGAAGUGCAUUCGAAACUGGCGGGCUUGAGUAUGGAAGAGGGUCGCGGAAUUCCCGGUGUAGAGGUGAAAUUCGUAGAUAUCGGGAGGAACACCAGUGGCGAAGGCGGCGACCUGGGCCAAUACUGACGCUGAGGUGCGAAAGCGUGGGGAGCAAACAGGAUUAGAUACCCGCGUAGUCC
rnacentral:rRNA from 1 species